GGCCCAUAUUUGGAGUAGAGUAGAUUAGUAGGAUCAGCUGACCAUACUAAUCUACUAUAAUUCAAAUUUGGGCCC
rfam:Haemonchus placei strain MHpl1 genome assembly, scaffold: HPLM_scaffold0000068